rnacentral:rRNA from 1 species
GACGAACGCUGGCGGCGUGCUUAACACAUGCAAGUCGAACGAAGUGGCGAACGGGUGAGUAACGCGUCAUCAACCUGCCCUUCAGAGGGGGACAAUCGUUGGAAACGACUGCUACUACCGCAUACUGAAGGUGGGGAUUGCGUCUGAUUAGCUAGUUGGAGGGGUAACGGCCCACCAAGGCGCUGUUCAGUAGCCGGGCUGAGAGGAGGGACGGCCACAUUGGGACGGAGAAACGGCCCAGACUCCUACGGGAGGCAGCAGGGGGGAAACUUCCGCAAUGGACGAAAGUCUGACGGAGGAACGCCGCGUGAGUGAUGACGGCCUUCGGGUUGUAAAGCUCUGUUAAUCGGGACGCGGUACCGGAAUAGAAAGCCACGGCUAACUACGUGCCAGCAGCCGCGGUAAUUC